GAACUAAGAACUUCCCCAAGUAAACCCUUUGGAGCAGCUAAGUUUCUCCAAGAGAAUGGUUAUGGUAAGUGAAACUGCAUGAAGUUUUACUACACGGACCAACUUGUGGAACUAGAUGAGUCUUUGAGAAGACUGCUUGACGUAUUAAAGGUGCAACAAGGAGUGAGGGAUGGAAUGGAGACUUUGGAAGAAUGGUGACCAACUUAUUGAAUCGGCAAGGGAUGAGAAGGAGACCUUGACUUUGGCAAGGAAAAUAAAUAUGUUGGUCAGGCUAAUUGAACGUUACUUCGUCCUCACAAAGGUCACAUUCAGGGAAGUUUCUUGGCAAACUAUUAUAUUGGCAUUCACCUAGAAAUCCAACCCAAAACGUUUUGGUUACGGGCUAUAAGCUUUUAUUGAUGUGCUUUUGUUUACUCAAAAGUUUUCAUUAUACUAUUAUAAGACUCCAUAUUCUUGCAAUUUCAAUUGAGCAUCUUUCUUUCCUUUCCUCUUAACAUCAAAGUCAUAUAUGAUUAUGGAUAUGCUGUGCCAAUGUUUAGGAAGGUGGAGAAAUGAGAGCAGGAACAAAGUCUCAAGCAUGAGCAGAACCGCAGGCCGAAAUCCAUUUUGAGAGGCACAGCCUCAGGGCCAUAUUUCCGAGACAUCCAACUCAAGAGUUUUCAGUUACAGAGAGCUGAAGACUGCUACUAAGAAUUUUCAAGGCCUUCAAGAAAUGGAACCCAGAAGACUUUCAAGGCCUUAAAGAGUGGCAGGAUGAAUCACUGGUAUAAUCAAACAAUCAAUACCUUGGACAAAAGAAGAGGUCAGUACGUACUCUUAUCUUAGUCUGAUAUGUAAGUGAUCAAAUCCAAAAGAUAGUACACCUUGCAACUAAUUAUCUUCAUUAGC